rnacentral:rRNA from 1 species
GAUGAACGCUGGCGGCGUGCCUAAUACAUGCCAGUCGAGCGAACAGACGAGGAGCUUGCUCCUCUGACGUUAGCGGCGGACGGGUGAGUAACACGUGGAUAACCUACCUAUAAGACUGGGAUAACUUCGGGAAACCGGAGCUAAUACCUGAUAAUAUAUUGAACCGCAUGGUUCAAUAGUGAAAGACGGUUUUGCUGUCACUUAUAGAUGGAUCCGCGCCGCAUUAGCUAGUUGGUAAGGUAACGGCUUACCAAGGCGACGAUGCGUAGCCGACCUGAGAGGGUGAUCGGCCACACUGGAACUGAGACACGGUCCAGACUCCUACGGGAGGCAGCAGUAGGGAAUCUUCCGCAAUGGGCGAAAGCCUGACGGAGCAACGCCGCGUGAGUGAUGAAGGUCUUCGGAUCGUAAAACUCUGUUAUUAGGGAAGAACAAAUGUGUAAGUAACUAUGCACGUCUUGACGGUACCUAAUCAGAAAGCCACGGCUAACUACGUG